rnacentral:rRNA from 1 species
GGGGGAWMYUGCCAGGWUKGRACCSGGGAGAGUAAGAGGUMUACGGGGGUAGGRGUGAAAUYUKUAAUCCCUGUGGGACCACCUGUGGCGAAGGCGUCUUACCAGAACGGGUUCGACGGUGAGGGACGAAAGCUGGGGGCACGAACCGGAUUAGAUACCCGGUAGUCCCAGCCGUAAACGAUGCUCGCUAGGUGUCAGGCAUGGCGCGACCGUGUCUGGUGCCGCAGGGAAGCCGUGAAGCGAGCCACCUGGGAAGUACGGCCGCAAGGCUGAAACUUAAAGGAAUUGGCGGGGGAGCAC